CCAGAAAUCAUUCUUGGCUUACCAUUUUGGGAAGCAAUUGAUAUUUGGUCACUUGGCUGUAUUAUUGCAGAAUUGUUCUUAGACUAUCCUCUAUACCCUGGUGCUACAGAAUAUGAUCAGUAGCAUAUGCCAGAAGGGCAAAAUAUGCUUAUGGAAUAUGCAGACAGAAUGGACUUCACUGAUUUGCUACAGUGGAUGCUCACUAUAGAUUCUUCUGCCAGGAUCACUCCUCUUGAAACACUAAACCAUCCAUUUGCGAAGGAGCAGACAGACACAGACCAGUUAUGUAACAACCAGUGUUGACAUAUGACACAGUACUACUGACUUGUGCUGAAUGGAGGCGUGGCCCAUGUAAUGAGGCAACAACCAACCACCACUUCAUCUUCAGACAGACUGCUCUUAUCACCAUCACUUUAGGUGGCCACACUUCAAGCCAAUAUACUUAUAAACUACUCUUCAAAAAAGAGGUGCUAUAACAAGGGUAAUCUGUAAUCUAAAGGACCACAGACAAGUUUCCUAAUAAAAAUAUUUAGAAAAUUGUUUGCAGUCCUGUGGUUUAAACUACAUUCAGAAAGACAGUAGACUAACUAAUGGAAAAGAAUUUCAUGUCCAGCAAACCUUUUUCCUUCUAGUGUGGAUCUGUGCAUGUAUGCACCACUGGUAUGUUCUGAUUACAGCAGGUGAAAACUCCAGAGUGGAGUCACCAUUUAAUAGUGAACUGGAAAUGUACCUUUUCAAGUGAAUGAUCCACUGGCUGGCUAGGGGUGUACCUCUCCCUUUUAAGACUGGGGUUUCACCAAC